CCCAUCUAUCGCUCGUCUCUGUCUCUCCCCCGACUAGCUCCUCCCAAACCCUAUCCUAAUUCCAUCGCCGCCACCCCCACGACUCUCUCUCCCUCCCGAUCUGCUCCGGCACUGUCCGCUCCCGAGUCUCUCCCUCUACGGCGCCGCUCUCCUUCGCCUUCCCAUCGCUCUCCCUCUCUCAUGGCGUGGACUAGCAGCGACGACGGGGAAGCCGGUGAAGAUCUCCAAGAAGCAGGAUGAGGGGGUGGUGCCCAAAAAGUGCGUCCCAAGGAACCCUGCGUGGGGCAGUGCCUCCUCAAGAUCUCAACACUCGUCUCACCGACGACAACGCGCCCUGACAAAUGGUCUUCAUACGGAGGGAGGUGCUGUAGCACAAGGGGCAGCCGAUCAGUGUGAUCACAGAUGGUGUGGAUAAGAAUGGGAAGCCACACAAGCUGCAGCCCUAUUCCAUCCCCACCAGUGAGCUGGGGGACUUUGGGCCUUCUGUACAUCCGCCAACUGCCCCACCACAAUUGAUGACCACGAUGCAGGGUGGCUGCGGUGCUCCAUAUCUUCUCCAUGAGGUCUCAGGCUUGGUCAUCCUCUAGGGAAAAAACAAGUAAAAAAAUGAUGCCUUCUCAGUUCUCAUCGAUCUGGUAGCGGCAAGUUCAAUUCUGCAGCCUCGACCAUUUUGGCUGCUCAUCGAAUUGUUUCGUGUUACACUGGUGCAAGCCGGAGAAAAGCCUACUCUGGAUCCUAUUGCAGUUGACAUCUUCUUUGCGUUGCUUUCAUCGGUGAAAAUCCAGAACAAGAAGCACAUAUAUGAUGAUGCAUCACCGGCUGCCUCCACCGCUGUUUUCUCCUUAAACCUGUUUUCUCCACCUUUCCUUGCUGAUUCACCAAUUUGUAGGGAAAUCAGUCUGCCAACUAGACUAGACACUUCAAUUGAUGUCACAUAUUGUUGUACAGAACCUACAAUUUCUGUACAUAUAGAAACAUCAGAUUAGUACUUUUUUGGACACUGAUUUCUCUUCUCUAACUGAAGCAAGUCUCUUAUAUUUACUGAAAGGUAGAACUAACCAGUGAUCCUUGACGUGAAUUUCACAUCGCUACUAAACUCUCUUUAUAUCUUUAGAAUAUGAUUAUCAGGAGAUUAUCUUCAUCACAAAUCCAAACAGCUGUUGAGAUGCUAAUAUAAUCAAGAAAUUAUCUGGGUUGACACAUAAAAAAUAUAUUAACUCCAUCUGUUAUCAUGGUUGAUGUACAUGACUAUAUGCUCUCACCUUUUAUGAAAAAACAUGGGUUCAAAUUAUAUGUCUGUCUUCCUAUAAAGAGAACUUCCAUAUAUGCAAAUAAUUAACAUGUAACCCAGUUAACGAAGUUUUUCUUUUGAAGCUAUCAGUCCAUAAACUAACAAAAUACACAUGUAGAAUUACCCCUUUUUCCUCCUCUUCGACCACACAUCUGCUUGUCUGGAUUCUCAACGGCAUCAAUCACCACAUCCCCCGACAACUACGUCCAUGGCUGCUUCUUUCCGUAUGACCUUCUCCCUGUUGUCCUCCUCCCAAGCCAGCAGUCAUGGCAUCCCCAAGCAACAUAAGCCAGCAGCAACAAGCAACCAAUCUACAAACUGAGGAUUUCAUCCCAUCGCCCUUUGCUAGGAACCAGGUUUCAUUGUAUCCACUAUAUCACCUCGCUUGUUUGUUCAUUUCAUAUUUAAAUAUGUUAUCCAAUAUGAACAAUCCAGUCAUUUUGUAUGUUGUUUUCUUGCCAUUCUAUGCUAAUAUUAUUAUUUGUUCAAAUGCUUAUUUUUUUCUCUGAAAUGGCAUGAUCCCCAUCAAAACAAACUAUGUGAAUUGUUAGGUAAUUAAGUUCAAACUGUGAGCCGGAGCGCGAGAGAUCGCCACCGUUAUUGCCUCUACUUGCGCAGCCUACUGCAUGACCGCAACCCCUGAUCGGAUGGAAUUUUACGACCUCAAAUCUGAGCAAGUGCACAUUCACGCAUCUAUCCUGGUGCAAUGCAAGAAUACUUGACCGUUAUAAUAUGAUGAUGUAGUGUAAUUGUAUCACUGGCCAGAACGCAUUGAGAUUUUCUUGAUAAUAUAUUGGAAGUUCUGAAAUA